rnacentral:rRNA from 1 species
AUUGAACGCUGGCGGCAGGCCUAACACAUGCAAGUCGAGCGAGCGGCGGACGGGUGAAUAAUGUAUGGGGAUCUGCCCGAUAGAGGGGGAUAACUCCUGGAAACGGUAGCGAAAACCGCAUACUAUCGGAUGAACCCAUAUGGGAUUAGCUAGUAGGUGAGGUAAUGGCUCACCUAGGCGAAGCUCCCUAGCUGGUCUGAGAGGAUGACCAGACACACUGAAAAUGAGACACGUUCCAGACUCAUUGGGGAGGCAGCAGUGGGGAAUAUUGCACAAUGGGCGCAAGCCUGAUGCAGCCAUGCCGCGUGUAUGAAGAAGGCCUUCGGGUUGUAAAGUACUUUCAGCGGGGAGGCGUUACCCGCAGAAGAAGCACCGGCUAACUCCGUGCCAGCAGCCGCGGUAAUAC